GGGAACCUAACACGGGCGUGGGAGAAAUAAAUGAAAAUGUACACGGCCGUACGACGCAGCCGCGCCCACCACACGACCUGGGAACACGGAUGUGUUGAAGGGACUGUGUGUGAACCUGACUUCGAUUUCAAGAAACACACGGGCUAGGAGAUUAUCACACGGGUGUGGGCCACGUUCGUGUGACCCAAAACGGGGCUUACAUGACCAUGUCCCCCCUUUUAUUUCUCCCAACCCUAAUUUUUUCCUAUCUCUCAUCACUAUUCAUUAUCUUUUUCCACCAGCCACUCUUUUUCUCCUUUCUUUUCUUUAUUUUUCUUUCCUUUCUCUCUUUUCUCUUCUUCUUUCCACAACUUCC
rnacentral:lncRNA from 1 species